rnacentral:lncRNA from 1 species
CUCAUUGGGGACAGAGGGGACUCCCCAUCCUCGUGGACAGCUGCUCUAGCAGUGGGAAUAGCUGACCAUUGGAACAAGGAGCUCAGAGACCUCACAAACUCUUCACUGCACACAGCCCUGAAAAGCAGACUGGCUGCUCUUCUGCAAAUGAACCUGAAAUGACCAGUGGUGGCAAGAGAGAGAUGCUCCAUCUUCAGUUCAUGGUGACUUGGUGGUAAGGCCAGGCUUGAUUCCCA